rnacentral:rRNA from 1 species
UACGUAGGGGGCAAGCGUUGUCCGGAAUCAUUGGGCGUAAAGAGCGUGUAGGCGGCUUGGCAAGUCUGACGUGAAAUCCCGCGGCUCAACCGCGGUAGGUCGUUGGAAACUGCCUCGCUAGAGUCCGGAAGAGGAGAGCAGAAUUCCUGGUGUAGCGGUGGAAUGCGCAGAUAUCAGGAAGAACACCCGUGGCGGAAGGCGGCUCUCUGGGACGGUACUGGACGCUGAGACG